ensembl:lincRNA Gm35386 predicted gene, 35386
AGGACAAUGCAGGGUCCAGUAAGGAAAGCUUGGAUUCACAGCAAAAACACUGUGUCUGCCUAGGUUUAGGCUGUUUUCUGGGAUGGACACUACCUGAAAUUCAACAUGUAUGCUUAAUAACCAUGGCAGUUCUGAAGGGAGCAGAAUCCAUUUCAGGGGGAAGGAUUUAAAACCAGAAAAGAAAUGGUGAAAAUAGAGCAAGACUAAUGUCAAUGUAGCUUUCUAUAAACAUGGAACACAAAAGAUCUACUACCACAACCAUGAAGAAAAACAAGUAAACAGGUACUCUGUUCCUGAUAACACCAGAGCCCAAACAAGGAGAUAUGAAUCUCAGGCAUUUCUUGAUCCUGAAGAAGUACAAUCGCAAAGAAUGUAGGCUUGAACCAAUCUCUCACCCUGAAAAAAACCCAGGUCCAUAAAAAAGAGAUGUAGGCCAGGGCUAGUUCCUCACCUUCAAGCACCCAGGGCCCAAAUGAAGAGGAAUGUGUGCCUAGGCCAUUCCCUGAUCCUGAAAAGGCUCUGGCCCAAAGCAAGGUAUGAUAUGGGCCUGGGCCUAUUCCUAAAUCUGAAGAGACCUAGGCCCAAAGAAGAAGAAAUGUGGGCCUGAGCCAAUCCCUGACCCUGAAUAA